AAAUACUAAAGUUUCAAUACUACAAUUUGACAUCAAAACUAAUACACUAUUCAAAAGGAAAUAUUAUAGCCUAUUCAAACUUUCAAAAGCUGCAUUUUACUAGAAAAUGCAAUUGCAAUCCAAUCAGGCUGUGCAGCUGACCAUUGCAGCUGGUUGAUUUCAGCAGUAGCAGAGUACAUAGACAUGGGAUCAAUCCCGUUAGGCCCAGCAACAGUAGGCAAGUCCCAAAUGAGGGCCUGUGCAUCAUCUCCAGCAGAGCAAAUGUGCCUACAGCUCUGCGGAGCCCAAGCAAUGGCAUUAACACUCGCUCGGUGCCUUUCCAAUUCCGCAACAGGCAUGGUUGGUGAUCUAAUAUCCAAAAUCACAACUUUGUUACUAUCCAUCAAAAUAGUAGCCAUGUACCUCAAAUCCUGCUUAUUCCAAGCCAAUCUGAGCAAGGGCGUAUCAGGCUGGGGACUCUCGUAGAUGAUGGUGGAGUGCUCCUU
rnacentral:misc_RNA from 1 species